rnacentral:lncRNA from 1 species
CGCUGCUCAUAUGCUGUCAGAGAAAACCACCGUUGCUUGAUGUUAUUUUUUUACAAAUUUGCAUUUGGAUCAGCGGGUCAUUACAGAGUAAACUUUCCAAUAGUUUGGGGCUGCAUGACCUGCGCAGGCGCCAUUGUCAUAUCCAUGGACUAUAACGUACAUCUACUGCUGCCAGUUGUCUCUAUCAAGUAAAAGUUGACCUUGGAGACGGGACGUUUAUUAGACUCAUUGGCUCCGUGCUAUCUUGUCAGGCUACAGUGCAUCAACGAAAAGCGGCCCUCUUGUUUGUUUCACACCAUAGCGAAACCUGAAGUGCUCUUCAACCUAACGACUCACAUCUGCGGAGGAGUGGAUGGAGUCAGCGACAACCUUUCUGUGAACAAAGGAGGCCAAAACAUCAUUACCCCCCCCCCCCCCCCCCCCCCCCCCCCACACACACACACACGAACCCCACUCACAUGUGUGUGCGCACACACACACACCCCACAGCACAAGCUAGCCCCUUCCACACUAUUUGAGGUGUGUUGUUGUGAACUGGCUUACGACUGCCAGGGGCUGUUGUUCAGCAGCAGUGCAUUGGACUGGACUGCAGACUGGGAUCUUGACUUUAAUACUGUCUUCCUGAGCUGGAGGAGGUGUAGGCGAGAAGAGCGUGGAGCAGCACACAGCCAGGGUGAUGUGCAGGGUGCAACCCCACAACCCUUUUGUUUGGAUAAUGUCUCUUGUCAAUGGCUCAAGUCCUUGUCAUUCACAUGCACUGACCAGUCUCACACCUUUUUGUAAGGUGUGAGACUGGUCAGUGCAUGUGAAUGACACACCUGUACAGACGAGGGCAGUGGUCUAACCUUAGAGCAACAGUACAUUCCUGUGAAAGACAUGGCCAUUAUUCAGAAUGCGUUAGAGACCUGGUCUAAACAAGACAAACAUGGGAAAUGGAAAUACAUUAAUGCAAAGGCCGAAAACAAUGGGAUACAGGAUAUUAGAUGGCCACACUAAAUUUGUCUUUC